GACGAACGCUGGCGGCGUGCCUAAUACAUGCAAGUCGUGCGGACCUUGUUGAAAGCUUGCUUUUCAAAGGUUAGCGGCGGACGGGUGAGUAACACGUGGGCAACCUGCCUGUAAGACUGGGAUAACGCCGGGAAACCGGGGCUAAUACCAGAUCGUUUUUUCCUCCGCAUGGAGGAAAAAGGAAAGGCGGCUUCGGCUGCCACUUACAGAUGGGCCCGCGGCGCAUUAGCUAGUUGGCGGGGUAAUGGCCCACCAAGGCAACGAUGCGUAGCCGACCUGAGAGGGUGAUCGGCCACAUUGGGACUGAGACACGGCCCAAACUCCUACGGGAGGCAGCAGUAGGGAAUCUUCCGCAAUGGACGAAAGUCUGACGGAGCAACGCCGCGUGAGUGAAGAAGGCCUUCGGGUCGUAAAACUCUGUUGCCGGGGAAGAACAAGUGCCGUUCGAACAGGGCGGCGCCUUGACGGUACCCGGCCAGAAAGCCACGGCUAACUACGUG
rnacentral:rRNA from 1 species